CUGGCAGGAUAUGGCAGCACUUUCGGUUGUGCGUCAAGAAUUCAGCAUAGAAAUUGAAGUUGCAAUGGCGGCGGUUGCUAAGAAGGGAGCAGCUGCGGACCAGAAGACUGCAGCCAAGACAGCACUGGUCCACACCUGCUCUGUCGGAUGCAGACCCAAAGAAAUUCAAGCAGAACUUUGAGCGCAAGCAUUCCAAGUCUCCAGUGGUCCCAGUGCUGGUUGAUGUACAGGCCUAAGUGAGCACACGCACUCAAAUGGACCUACAGCUCAGGCAAGAUUUUUUUUUCAACAAGUUAGUUCUGAAUUGCUUUAUAUAAUACAGCAGUGCAUUCUGACACCAUGAACUGAAAUAACUUUCACCUUAUUCACAUAGUUGGCAGAAAUGAUAAGGGAUUCAAUAGACCUCCACAGGCUGAAUUAGAAGAGGAUCUGGUAAAAUAAGGGAAUGUUGCUAAUAUCAUUUUAGGUAGCUAGCUAGCAAUAUAGCUAAUCUGCUAAAAGAGAGCCUAGUAUUCAUGGCACAUUAUAAAUAUCUGACUGCUACUAGGAUAGUAUUCUGUACAAGACAAGACCAAAUGCAUAAAUAAAAUAAGUGUUAAUAAAAAUAUGGAACAGUA
rnacentral:lncRNA from 1 species